UAUAUGUGUAACAGCUGCUGUUGGAUUUGCAGCAGGGCUCAGGAUCCUUGCAAAGGCAGAGCAGGAAAGUUUACAGAAAGUUGUUGCUUGAUAGGACAUGUGCAUGUUUUUGAUUGGCUCCUGAGGCAGGAGAGGGGCGGGAACUCUGCCUGGGACUGGCUUGGCUCAGAGAAGGGAAGGGACCUAGGAGCACAGAGCUCGGGGUGGAACCACCGUGUAGCUGAUACCACAGACAGCUGGAGCAACAGAGAGCUUCUCUUCCCCAGGCAGUCUCUAGCAGACAGCAGGACUUUCUGAAGCAGCAGCACCAGCCAUGGUUAUUGUGCUGCCAGUGUGAAGGAGAGCUGAUGUCUUGUUAAACCUGUGUGCUCCAGCUGAAAUUCCCCAGUCUCAAGGUUUAAACUGGGGCGUUGUACUGAGGAUGUCUUUGAUUCAAUUUGUACAGUGUUUUGAUACCUGCCUUUGACAAUUUGAUUAUCGAUACCCUGUUCUGCUUUUAACCUCAUUCAUAUGUUGACUGUUUUGUAAAUAAUAAACUGUGUAAAUAGG